AGAGGAGAAAAAAUUAGAAAUUGGAGGAGUAAACUUGACCGUGGAGGAGUAUUUUUAGGAGUCGGCCACCUCUUCCGAGAAAAACUCCCGCCUCCAAUCCCGCCGGUGUCGCCGAGGGUGACCGCCAUACCCCGCCGACCCCACUCAGGUCCCUGCGUCGCCCUCCAGGCCACCUCUAUGUCGCUCGCUGUAUCUCCCAAUCGUCGGAAUUGACGAGGGGAUCGAGUUUCCGCUGGUCACCGGCCCAGUUUCUUCCAAAUUGGUAUCCGUCAGCCACGAUUCGUAGAAGGUCGGGACCGUUGCCCUCGACGCCUCCCUAUGCCCCAUCCGAUGACCGUCCGGCCACCCACGUCACCUCCUCCACCCAUCAGGUGUUCGAUCGAGAGGCUAGAUGAAGAGGCUCAGGGAGUAGAUCAUGGAUGACUCAUCGUCAUAGGAGAAGGAGGAGGACGAUGACGACGACGAGGUCAAGAUGGCCAUGGACAUCAUUUUGAAUGAUGAUGUUCGGCGGCCGAGGCAAGGAUCACAGUUGGCCGCGCAUACAUCAAAUGGGAUGUUUGGUGCUACCUUGAUGUGUUUGAACUAUUCUCGUCAUUCGUUAAAUUUGAACCCUGCCAUGUGUUUGGCUUUAAAUUUUUUUGUUUGCAAACUUAUUUUUUAUUCACUCCUAAACAUGUUAUUUUAUUGUAUUUAAACUAUGCCAAAUGUUUGGCUUUUAAUAGUUUGUUUUCUACAUUAAAAAAUUACUCCUCUAAAUAUAAGGGUUCGGUUAGUAACCGCCAACCUUUAGAGGAUUAGAGGAGUAUCUUUGCUCCUCUAAGUUUUAGGAGUUGGUUUACUCCUCUAAAAUUUUGGGGAUCGAAUUGAGAUGCCCUAACUUGAGGCAAAGCGUUCGAGGAUAUGCUCGCUGAGCCUCAAUUUUAGCGUUGGGAUUCUGCUUAUUGACCUCAAGCCCAGCUGUCAGGCGAUCGGUGAAAGAGCAAAUACGCAACCACUGUUUGCCUAGAUGAAAGAGAUAUAUCUGAAUCUGCGACAAUUAAUAAUGGAAUGAAGCCAUAGCCAGAGGGGAAGAACUGGGACAAAGGUGCUACAUAUGGACCGAUAAUUGGUCAAAAGGGACAUCAAUAGAAGACAUUGCCCUGGACAUAUAUCUUGCAAUUAACCCUCUAACAAAGGCAAGAAGAACUGUUGCAGAAGCGGUCGUCAAUGGAGCUUGGAUAGAUGAUACCAAGAAACAAAUCAACAUUCAGGAUUUUCUUCAGGUUGUUGCCAUAUGGAAAGAACUCAAUGGUAUACAUUUAAGCCAAAAUGCAGAGGAUGUGUGGACAUAGACUUGGGAGGCCAAAGGAACAUUCACAUCGAAAUCAGUAUAUAUGGAUCAUUAUAAGACUCCUACUUAGUGUGAUAUCGCAAACGAAAUCUGGAAGUCAUGGUCGCCUUUGAGAUGCAAAAUCGCGGUUAGGUUGAUCAUACGUGAAAGGGUAUGGAUGGCAAACCGGCUAGCAAAAAAGAGGACUUCCCCAUCACAAGAAAUGUGUCUUCUGCAAUUUGACGGAGAAAGAUAAUCAACAUUUAUUCAUUGGUUGCGCAGUGGUAAACAUCAUUUGGAACUCCGUGUUGGAAUGGGCUGGUUUCGAUCAGGUGGUUCAAAUAUCAAGCCGAAACCUCAGAACUUGGUGGAAACAAGCGUUGACAAAUAUGCAGAACACAAGCAAGAAGAAACUGAAUUCAGUCAGCAUACUUAUCUCUUUGUCGAUAUGGAGGGAAAGGAACAGUCGGGUGUUCGAAAAUGCUUACAAACCAAUUUUGUAACUCAUUGAUGAGAUACAAUCAGAAGCAAAGCUGUGGUCACUAGCAAGUAAAGGUCGAUUCACUCUGUAGGUGUCAGGCCGCUACGGCUGCUGUGUGUGUUUUUCCUUUUCCACUUUUUGAUCAGGUCGAGUUUCACAAGACUGACUAUA